rnacentral:lncRNA from 1 species
CUUUCUUACUUUACUACCGUAUGAUUUAAAGUGUAUUAAGUUAGUGUUUUGUUGUUUCAUUUUUAUCUUUUCUUUAGUUUUUUCGUUAAUAUUUCGUUAAAUUAUAUACAAAAAAAUUUUAAAUAUCCCAUCUAGAUUUAUCAAAAAUUUUCACUUUAGUACCCAUUAGUUUUAACUUUAUUACUUAUUUAUAACAAAAAAAAAUUAGUGGAAUCGAUAAUAAAAAGAUAAAAAUAAAACCACUGGUCACUAAAUUGAUACACUUUAAACUACAGGGUACUAAAGUGAGAACGUGUGAAACCACGGAGUGGUAUUUGAAGUUUUCUCUAUAUUUUUUUAGUUU